CAGGCUUAACACAUGCAAGUCGAGGGGCUUCAUGGUCUUAGCUUGCUAAGGCCGAUGGCGACCGGCGCACGGGUGAGUAACACGUAUCCAACCUGCCGUCUACUCUUGGACAGCCUUCUGAAAGGAAGAUUAAUACAAGAUGGCAUCAUGAGUCCGCAUGUUCACAUGAUUAAAGGUAUUCCGGUAGACGAUGGGGAUGCGUUCCAUUAGAUAGUAGGCGGGGUAACGGCCCACCUAGUCUUCGAUGGAUAGGGGUUCUGAGAGGAAGGUCCCCCACAUUGGAACUGAGACACGGUCCAAACUCCUACGGGAGGCAGCAGUGAGGAAUAUUGGUCAAUGGGCGAGAGCCUGAACCAGCCAAGUAGCGUGAAGGAUGACUGCCCUAUGGGUUGUAAACUUCUUUUAUAAAGGAAUAAAGUCGGGUAUGGAUACCCGUUUGCAUGUACUUUAUGAAUAAGGAUCGGCUAACUCCGUGCCAGCAGCCGCGGUAAUACGGAGGAUCCGAGCGUUAUCCGGAUUUAUUGGGUUUAAAGGGAGCGUAGAUGGAUGUUUAAGUCAGUUGUGAAAGUUUGCGGCUCAACCGUAAAAUUGCAGUUGAUACUGGAUAUCUUGAGUGCAGUUGAGGCAGGCGGAAUUCGUGGUGUAGCGGUGAAAUGCUUAGAUAUCACGAAGAACUCCGAUUGCGAAGGCAGCCUGCUAAGCUGCAACUGACAUUGAGGCUCGAAAGUGUGGGUAUCAAACAGGAUUAGAUACCCUGGUAGUCCACACGGUAAACGAUGAAUACUCGCUGUUUGCGAUAUACUGCAAGCGGCCAAGCGAAAGCGUUAAGUAUUCCACCUGGGGAGUACGCCGGCAACGGUGAAACUCAAAGGAAUUGACGGGGGCCCGCACAAGCGGAGGAACAUGUGGUUUAAUUCGAUGAUACGCGAGGAACCUUACCCGGGCUUAAAUUGCAGAUGAAUUACGGUGAAAGCCGUAAGCCGCAAGGCAUCUGUGAAGGUGCUGCAUGGUUGUCGUCAGCUCGUGCCGUGAGGUGUCGGCUUAAGUGCCAUAACGAGCGCAACCCUUGUUGUCAGUUACUAACAGGUUCCGCUGAGGACUCUGACAAGACUGCCAUCGUAAGAUGUGAGGAAGGUGGGGAUGACGUCAAAUCAGCACGGCCCUUACGUCCGGGGCUACACACGUGUUACAAUGGGGGGUACAGAGGGCCGCUACCACGCGAGUGGAUGCCAAUCCCCAAAACCUCUCUCAGUUCGGACUGGAGUCUGCAACCCGACUCCACGAAGCUGGAUUCGCUAGUAAUCGCGCAUCAGCCACGGCGCGGUGAAUACGUUCCCGGGCCUUGUACACACCGCCCGUCAAGCCAUGGGAGCCGGGGGUACCUGAAGUGCGUAACCGCGAGGAGCGCCCUAGGGUAAAACU
rnacentral:rRNA from 1 species